rnacentral:lncRNA from 1 species
CUGGACAGAAAGGUUUUAAAGUGGAAAUAGCAUUUCUUCUGGCUUAAUCUAUAUAUCGACUUUGAAUACAUGAAUUAUGAUUAUCUACUAAUGCUAUAGUGUUCUUAGAACUAUACAUGCAUAUCAAAGGCCCUUGUUUCAAUAUGUAAUUUUUAUGUCAUAGCAUAGUUAAUGUGAAAAAGACAGUUGUAUUAAAUAGCAAAAUGAC